rnacentral:lncRNA from 1 species
CUUUGGAAAUCCCCCAUGUAACCCGACAAUGAUGCAUUUUCUCUUCAAGAAUCCCUGAUCUAACCUGAAAAUCACGCAUUUUCACUUCAAAAAUACAUAAUUUAUCAAAAAUCACAAGUUUUCUCUUAAAAACAAACAAACAAACAAACAAACAAACACAUUUAACCCCAAAAUCAUGUAUUUUCUCAUCGAAAAUCCCUGCUUUAACCUGAACACCACGCAUUUUCACCACAAAAAUCC